rnacentral:rRNA from 1 species
CGGUGGAUGCCUUGGCACUAGGAGCCGAUGAAGGACGGGACUAACACCGAUAUGCUUCGGGGAGCUGUAAGUAAGCUUUGAUCCGAAGAUUUCCGAAUGGGGAAACCCACUACUCGUAAUGGAGUAGUAUCUCUACCUGAAUUCAUAGGGUAGCAGAAGGUAGACCCGGGGAACUGAAACAUCUAAGUACCCGGAGGAAGAGAAAGCAAACGCGAUUUCCCAAGUAGCGGCGAGCGAAACGGAAGAUAGCCCAAACCAAGAGGCUUGCCUCUUGGGGUUGUAGGACACUCAACAUGGAGUUACAAAGGAACGGGGUAGAUGAAGUGAUCUGGAAAGAUCCGUCAUAGAAGGUAACAACCCUGUAGUCGAAACUUCGUUCCCUCCUGAGUGGAUCCUGAGUACGGCGGGACACGAGAAAUCCCGUCGGAAGCUGGGAGGACCAUCUCCC